CACUGGGGUAGCUGUUGCCAGGGACGGCUGAACACUAUCACAAGCAGCCCUUCCGAUGCCUUUCUGUUCACUUGUCCACAUUCACCUCUCUGUUUCCUUUGACUGGGCCUUGAGUGACCUACCACAAUAGCGGAGCUGACCAAACGCAGAGUGCCUGUAUUUCAACAUUCAGGAGGCUGACUCUGCAAUCCCAAGACCCUUCGAGAAGGUGGAGACCAAGUUGGAGAACCUCCCACCUCCUCCAGGCUUCUGAGGCUCUUCACCUUUAAGAUGAAGCAAAGCCAGACUCUGGCAACCACUGGGUGCUGAGGGCUCGGGGGUCAGAGGGGUCUGAGAGGCCCCGUCCAGGCUGCAGCCAGCCAAGCCAGGCUCUUCUGCCCUUUCCAAGACCCAGAGAAGGUCUGGACCGAGAGACACUGCUGCUACCCAAGGGAAAGGCGCCUGAGGGAAGGGACUGCCGAGACCUUCCUGCAGGAGACAACGAGGGCUCUCUCCAGCUCUGCGGGACAGAAGAGCAGCCAGGGACAGGGGUGCUGACCCGGCAGUUCCAGGUCUUAGUCAUUUCCACGCCCCAGCAGAAUGGCCCGCAGCACCCCAGCCAACACACACACCGUCAUUUCUUUUAGCAACCUUCUGGGACUUGGACGAGCUUGGAGGAAUCCACGAGCAUUAGGGAGCCCUGGAGGAGGGGUGAAGGUUCAGGAAAGCAGCCAGGACCCAGCCGCGUCUGCCGGCCGGUACCCAGCGAGCCAGUCCAUCCGACACGCGUGGCACAGACACCGUCGUGGGUGAGACCAACUCAACAUCUUAGACGCGAGAGGGUGUGGGACGAGUUCCCCUUCCAACGAGUAAAUUGGCAGGGCCACUAAUUAAGUUGAAAGGAACGUCUGAGUCACGCUUCCUGGCCCGCUGUCUCCCUCUUCCGGUCUCCCACUCUAUCUGCGAGGAGCCCACUUCUCCCUGGGAAAACAGUGUGGUAACACAUUUGACACUAACGCAGACGCUAAUGAUCUCAAGUUGCUCCAACCAAAUCUGAGGAGUUUUGCUGUGAUACAAAUAAAUAUGUGCUUUGGGCUGUGAUUUUUUUUUCCAGCUAAGCUAUUUGGAGUCCCACACAUUUGUUUUCUCCCCUUUUUCUCUCUAAAUCACAAGGGUUUUCAGAAAUACAGGGUGUGCAUCUUGGGAAAGCGGAUGAUGUAGGGAAUGUGGGGAACCCUAAGUCGCCCGAGUCCUGUGGAAUAGGAACGUCAUGG
rnacentral:lncRNA from 1 species